rnacentral:rRNA from 1 species
CCUACGGGAGGCUGCAGUGAGGAAUAUUGGUCAAUGGCCGAGAGGCUGAACCAGCCAAGUCGCGUGAGGGAAGACGGCUCUACGGGUUGUAAACCUCUUUUGUCGGGGAGCAAAGAGAGUCACGUGUGACUCAUUGAGAGUACCCGAAGAAAAAGCAUCGGCUAACUCCGUGCCAGCAGCCGCGGUAAUACGGAGGAUGCGAGCGUUAUCCGGAUUUAUUGGGUUUAAAGGGUGCGCAGGCGGAGGUGACAGUCAGCGGUCAAAUUGCGGGGCUCAACCCCGUACUGCCGUUGAAACUGCAUGCCUUGAGUGCGCGAGAAGUAGGCGGAAUGCGUGGUGUAGCGGUGAAAUGCAUAGAUAUCACGCAGAACUCCGAUUGCGAAGGCAGCAUACCGGCGCGCAACUGACGCUCAUGCACGAAAGCGUGGGUAUCAAACAGGAUUAGAUACCCUAGUAGUC